ensembl:lncRNA
CCUCCUGCUUGUAGAUUACAGUCUCAUAAACUCUAAGGACAGGGUGUGCUCCUCCACAGAACUGUGUGCUGUACUCUUUCAUAACAUCAGCCAGUGAGAAAGUGAACCGGAAGUUUCCAUAGCGAGAGCCAUCCUUAAACACAGGAGAGGUGGUGAAUUCAUGCAGGAAAGGCUUCUGUCGCUCUCUCUCUUCUGGACUCCGUUUAGGGAAGAGUUUCUCCAGGUACCUCUGCUCUGCAGUAGUGAUCUCGUCUUCACCAAUCAGUGUCCCCCACCACAAGAGUCUCCUAUCCCCUCCACGAAAUCCUGUGAGGUCCAGAAUCCCUGUCAUACCAUCUGUAGUUGUGACGUGAGAUACUAUUGAACAAUGGAACUCUACAGGUCGAGGAUAAUGUGGAACUACGCACAUACGUGGUUCUUCAUUUGGUUGAGCCACUGUUUUAAGACUCAUGGGCAAUUUCCUCCUCUUCAUAACAUCUAUAACCACAUGUUCCCUACAUACAUAAUGUUCCUCGAAUCCCCUCGCAUUCUUUCGGUCUCGGAUUGGGUUCUGUUGAGACAAGGAUUAAAAAUUUGUUGCGGUUUGUUUUGAAUUUUAAUUUUUUCCUUCAUUUUUCUUAUUCAGUUAAUUUUAAGGAUGAAUUAAACCCUUUCACUGCGUAAUGAAUUAAAAUUUCAUACCUCGUUUUCAGGUUGAGCGGCCAUCCUUUAGCUUCUACUGGUGCGA